rnacentral:rRNA from 1 species
AGAGUUGAUCAUGGCUCAGGAUGAACGCUAGCGACAGGCCUAACACAUGCAAGUCGAGGGGCAGCACAAGGAGUAAUCUGAGGUGGCGACCGGCGCACGGGUGAGUAACACGUAUGCAACCUGGCUGUAAGAGGGGAAUAACCCGGAGAAAUCCGGACUAAUACCGCAUAAUACUUAGAAUCCGCAUGGAUUUUAAGUUAAACAUUUAUGGCUUACAGAUGGGCAUGCGUAUGAUUAGCUGGCUGGAGAGGUAACGGCUCCCCAAGGCAACGAUCAUUAGGGGUUCUGAGAGGAAGGUCCCCCACACUGGUACUGAGACACGGACCAGACUCCUACGGGAGGCAGCAGUGAGGAAUAUUGGUCAAUGGACGCAAGUCUGAACCAGCCAAAGUCGCGUGAAGGAAGAAUGUCCUAUGGAUUGUAAACUUCUUUUGAAGGGGAAUAAAGUACGGUACGUGUACCGUUUUGUAUGUACCCUUCGAAUAAGGAUCGGCUAACUCCGUGCCAGCAGCUGC